rnacentral:tRNA from 1 species
GAGGGUAUAGCUCAGUGGUAGAGUGUGUCUUGGCUCAUACAAGGUCCUGGGUUCAAUCCCCAGUCCCUCCA